rnacentral:lncRNA from 1 species
GUUGUUUUAUUCUUUUAGGCCAUUUCGGAGAUUUACAUCUGAAAAUAAAAUAUUUGGAAUCCAGCAAGGCUGAGAACGAUUCCCACAUCAGAAGGCUCUGUCAGCUAAAAGGUAAUUGCUAAAUUUAAUUUGGCUGAUUUUGCAUUUUUCUAAAGUAGUUUAAAGGGCAGGUAAGAGAAAUUUACAUUUUUCGUCAUUAAAAUAAGCAAGGCA